rnacentral:rRNA from 1 species
UAGGGAAUCUUCGGCAAUGGGGGCAACCCUGACCGAGCAACGCCGCGUGAGUGAAGAAGGUUUUCGGAUCGUAAAGCUCUGUUGUAAGAGAAGAACGAGUGUGAGAGUGGAAAGUUCACACUGUGACGGUAACUUACCAGAAAGGGACGGCUAACUACGUGCCAGCAGCCGCGGUAAUACGUAGGUCCCGAGCGUUAUCCGGAUUUAUUGGGCGUAAAGCGAGCGCAGGCGGUUAGAUAAGUCUGAAGUUAAAGGCUGUGGCUUAACCAUAGUACGCCUUGGAAACUGUUUAACUUGAGUGCAGAAGGGGAGAGUGGAAUUCCAUGUGUAGCGGUGAAAUGCGUAGAUAUAUGGAGGAACACCGGUGGCGAAAGCGGCUCUCUGGUCUGUAACUGACGCUGAGGCUCGAAAGCGUGGGGAGCAAACAGGAUUAGAUACCCUGGUAGUCCACGCCGUAAACGAUGAGUGCUAGGUGUUGGGUCCUUUCCGGGACUCAGUGCCGCAGCUAACGCAUUAAGCACUCCGCCUGGGGAGUACGACCGCAAGGUUG